AACCUCCGCAAUGUGAGAAAUCGCGACGGGGGGAUCCCAAGUGCCAUUCUUAACGGGAUGGCUUUUCAUUAGUGUAAAAAGCUUUUGGAAUAAGAGCUGGGCAAGACCGGUGCCAGCCGCCGCGGUAACACCGGCAGCUCUAGUGGUAGCAAUUUUUAUUGGGCCUAAAGCGUCCGUAGCCGGUUUAAUAAGUCUCUGGUGAAAUCCUGUAGCUUAACUGUGGGAAUUGCUGGAGAUACUAUUAGACUUGAGACCGGGAGAGGUUAGAGGUACUCCCAGGGUAGAGGUGAAAUUCUGUAAUCCUGGGAGGACCGCCUGUUGCGAAGGCGUCUAACUGGAACGGUUCUGACGGUGAGGGACGAAAGUUAGGGGCGCGAACCGGAUUAGAUACCCGGGUAGUCCUAACUGUAAACGAUGCGGACUUGGUGUUGGGGUGGCUUUGAGCUGCUCCAGUGUCGAAGGGAAGCUGUUAAGUCCGCCGCCUGGGAAGUACGGUCGCAAGACUAGAAUUUAAAGGAAUU
rnacentral:rRNA from 1 species